rnacentral:rRNA from 1 species
UACAGAGGGUGCAAGCGUUGUUCGGAAUUAUUGGGCGUAAAGGGCGCGUAGGCGGUGCCACAAGUCACCUGUGAAAUCUCCGGGCUUAACUCGGAGCCUGCAGGCGAAACUGUGGUGCUGGAGUGUGGGAGAGGUGCGUGGAAUUCCUGGUGUAGCGGUGAAAUGCGUAGAUAUCAGGAGGAACACCUGUGGCGAAAGCGGCGCACUGGACCACAACUGACGCUGAGGAGCGAAAGCUAGGGGAGCAAACGGG